AUACAUGCAAGUCGAGCGGACUUGAAGAGAAGCUUGCUUCUCGGAUAGUUAGCGGCGGACGGGUGAGUAACACGUAGGCAACCUGCCUGUAAGAUCGGGAUAACUACCGGAAACGGUAGCUAAGACCGGAUAAUCGGUUUCUCCGCAUGGAGAGAUCGUGAAACACGGAGCAAUCUGUGGCUUACGGAUGGGCCUGCGGCGCAUUAGCUAGUUGGUGAGGUAACGGCUCACCAAGGCGACGAUGCGUAGCCGACCUGAGAGGGUGAACGGCCACACUGGGACUGAGACACGGCCCAGACUCCUACGGGAGGCAGCAGUAGGGAAUCUUCCGCAAUGGACGCAAGUCUGACGGAGCAACGCCGCGUGAGUGAUGAAGGUUUUCGGAUCGUAAAGCUCUGUUGCCAGGGAAGAACGCCAAGGAGAGUAACUGCUCUUUGGGUGACGGUACCUGAGAAGAAAGCCCCGGCUAACUACGUGCCAGCAGCCGCGGUAAUACGUAGGGGGCAAGCGUUGUCCGGAAUUAUUGGGCGUAAAGCGCGCGCAGGCGGUUUUUUAAGUCUGGUGUUUAAUCCCGAGGCUCAACCUCGGUUCGCACCGGAAACUGGGAGACUGGAGUGCAGGAGAGGAAAGUGGAAUUCCACGUGUAGCGGUGAAAUGCGUAGAGAUGUGGAGGAACACCAGUGGCGAAGGCNACUUUCUGGCCUGUAACUGACGCUGAGGCGCGAAAGCGUGGGGA
rnacentral:rRNA from 1 species